UUCAAUCCAUUGUUGAAUUUAUUGCACCUCAAAGGGCUUACAUGCACUGGGGAGGGUCAUCAAAAAAUAAAAUGAAUUUACAACUAAACAAAAAUACAAUUUUAAUAAUUCAGCCAUGAAAAAUGUUAAUAAUCUCCCAUUUUUUUCUCUGAAUCACAACAUAUUCUCACAACCAAUUGCUUUUCAGUCCAUAGAAAUGACAACACAGAGUAAACUUUACAUUAGUCUGAUUUUACAGCACAGGACUGAGGACCCUGCUGUUACACAGAUGUCCAGAUGCAUAUCAACAUGUUGAAUUUAUGGCAAGUCUUGAGGGACAGAGGGGCUUUCUGUGAGGAUGCUUUUGGGGGACAAGACCAAGGCUAGCUGGGCUGCGGCUUCCUGUUGAUUUAAACAAUGUACACAUCACUCCCAUGUGGCCACUCACAAUAUGAAUACAGUUCAACUGACAAUGAGCCAAAGGUCAGCAACAAUAAAAUCAACAACUUCAACAAAAAAAAAAAAAAAGUUCAGACAACAAUCAAACAUGAACUUUUUAUCAAAUUUGAUCUCAUUAAAUAUUGUUGAAGCAUCAGUGCACAUGUAAACACGGUCAGGACUGGAGACAGGCUGGGAACACUGACGUUUAAAGGUACCCUGUGGGGUUUUUGACAGCAUGAUGUACUUUGAUAAGCAGUCCCCUGUUUGUAAACACUGUAAAAGUUUCCAGGAUGAGCCAACAUCUCAUGUUUGAAUACGCAACCAAUACAGGAAACUCUCCAAUCUAAUCUAACAGAGUGAAAAAAUGAAUGUACAGAAAAUUUUGUCUUCAAAAGAAGAAUUAUACAGGGUACCAUUUUAACUUUUCAGAUUGGAUUUUUGAGGGUUAAGUCUGGGUCAUCGGUUCAAACCAUACAUCAUUAUUAUAAGGUUUAAGUUUUGGUCUGACGUGUCUGAACAUAGAAUUUGGUACAGCAAUAAAAAAUCUUACUCUAAAUACAGAAAUAACCAUACUGACCUGUUCAUAAUUACAAUGAAAGCACAGGCAACAGACAAAACCACAUGGGGAGUGUCAAAACUGCAGGUAGACACUUGGACAGUUAUACUGAAGGAGAGUUCGCAUUUAGCUCUGUGAUAAAUAACUGAAGUAAGUUGUAGGAUAUGUCCUUUUAUAGUUUUGCCAGCAAAUAUUAACAGCAGUUUGAGGGAUUAUCAGAGGAGAAACAAUACAUUUAAAUAACAUCAGACAGAGAGAUACAAAUGAACAUUAAAAAAAACUGAGCCAUGAGUUAAAAAAAAAAGAAACAAAAAGGAUCACUUCCUGGUCAGAUAUGACUCAAAGUCCAUAAACGAUAAUGUACAGAAAAACGAUCAUUUAGCUGUGUCUGUUUUUGAUGCCAAACACUUUGAAAAGAUGACGGGAAAUAGAGGGAUACUCACACAACUUCUUAGAAUUUCAUGUCAGAUUCACAUUAAUAUUUCUCUUCAACAGACAUACAGAAUAGAGACGUAAUCCUUGCCAGAGUUAUCUAUGUACAUCAAAGAGGGCUUUUCUGUAAACAACACGUGACAUAUUUUGUUGAAAAUCUAUCAGGGCUUUGUGUACCCCUC
rnacentral:lncRNA from 1 species